UACGUAGGGGGCAAGCGUUGUCCGGAUUUAUUGGGCGUAAAGAGCGUGUAGGCGGUUAGGUAGGUCCGUUGUGAAAACUCGGGGCUCAACCUCGAGACGCCGAUGGAAACCAUCUAACUAGAGUCCGGAAGAGGAGAGUGGAAUUCCUGGUGUAGCGGUGAAAUGCGCAGAUAUCAGGAAGAACACCCGUGGCUAAGGCGGCUCUCUAGUACGGUACUGACGCUGAGACGCGAAAGCGUGGGGAGCGAACAGG
rnacentral:rRNA from 1 species